ACAAUGGAGAGUUUGAUCCUGGCUCAGGAUGAACGCUAGCGGCAGGCUUAAUACAUGCAAGUCAAGGGGGUAGCAAUACAACCGGCGCACGGGUGAGUAACGCGUACACAACAUGCCAUAUACUGGAGUAUAGCUUUGGGAAACUGAAGGUAAUCCUCCAUAACAUUGCGAAAGGGCAUCCUUUUACAAUUAAAGUUUCGACGGUAUAUGAUUGGUGUGCGUUUGAUUAGCUAGUUGGUAGGGUAAUGGCCUACCAAGGCGACGAUCAAUAGCUGGCGUGAGAGCGCGACCAGCCACACUGGAACUGAGACACGGUCCAGACUCCUACGGGAGGCAGCAGUAGGGAAUAUUGGACAAUGGGCGAAAGCCUGAUCCAGCCAUGCCGCGUG
rnacentral:rRNA from 1 species